CUCGGGCUAAUACCGCAUAAAACCGCGAGGUCAAAGGGGGCCGCAAGGCUCUUGCCGAAAGAGGAGUCCGCGUCCGAUUAGCUAGUUGGCAGGGUAAUGGCCUACCAAGGCGACGAUCGGUAGCCGGCCUGAGAGGGUGAUCGGCCACACUGGAACUGAGACACGGUCCAGACUCCUACGGGAGGCAGCAGUGGGGAAUUUUGCGCAAUGGGCGAAAGCCUGACGCAGCAACGCCGCGUGGAGGAUGAAGGUCUUCGGAUUGUAAACUCCUGUCAGUGGGGAAAAAGGGGAACGGGCUCAUACCCCGUUUCAUUGAUUGUACCCGCAGAGGAAGCCCCGGCUAACUCUGUGCCAGCAGCCGCGGUAAUACAGAGGGGGCAAGCGUUAUUCGGAAUUAUUGGGCGUAAAGGGCGCGUAGGCGGCCCUUCAAGUGGUAGGUGAAAUCCCUCGGCUCAACCGAGGAGCUGCCCGCCAAACUGAAGAGCUUGAGUCCGGGAGAGGUGAGUGGAAUUCCCAGUGUAGCGGUGAAAUGCGUAGAUAUUGGGAGGAACACCAGUGGCGAAGGCGGCUCACUGGACCGGAACUGACGCUGAGGCGCGAAAGCGUGGGGAGCAAACGGGAUUAGAUACCCCGGUAGUCCACGCUGUAAACGAUGAGUGCUUGGUGUAGCGGGU
rnacentral:rRNA from 1 species